ACUGAACGCUGGCGGAAUGCUUUACACAUGCAAGUCGAACGGCAGCACGGACUUCGGUCUGGUGGCGAGUGGCGAACGGGUGAGUAAUGUAUCGGAACGUGCCCAGUCGUGGGGGAUAACGUAGUGAAAAUUACGCUAAUACCGCAUACGAUCUAUGGAUGAAAGCGGGGGAUCGCAAGACCUCGCGCGAUUGGAGCGGCCGAUAUCAGAUUAGAUAGUUGGUGGGAUAAAGGCCCACCAAGCCAACGAUCUGUAGCUGGUCUGAGAGGACGACCAGCCACACUGGAACUGAGACACGGUCCAGACUCCUACGGGAGGCAGCAGUGGGGAAUUUUGGACAAUGGGCGAAAGCCUGAUCCAGCCAUUCCGCGUGCAGGAUGAAGGCCCUCGGGUUGUAAACUGCUUUUGUACAGAACGAAAAGGUUUCUACUAAUACUAGGAGCUCAUGACGGUACUGUAAGAAUAAGCACCGGCUAACUACGUGCCAGCCGCCGCCGUAA
rnacentral:rRNA from 1 species